CCUACGGGAGACAGCAGUGGGGAAUAUUGGACAAUGGGGGGAACCCUGAUCCAGCGACGCCGCGUGAGUGAAGAAGUAUUUCGGUAUGUAAAGCUCUAUCAGCAGGGAAGAAAAUGACGGUACCUGACUAAGAAGCCCCGGCUAACUACGUGCCAGCAGCCGCGGUAAUACGUAGGGGGCAAGCGUUAUCCGGAUUUACUGGGUGGAAAGGGAGCGUAGACGGUGCAGCAAGUCUGAUGUGAAAGGUCGGGGCCCAACCCCGGGACUGCAGUGGAAACUCUUGAACUGGAGUACAGGAGAGGUAAGCGGAAUUCCUAGUGUAGCGGUGAAAGGCGUAGAUAUUAGGAGGAACACCAGUGGCGAAGGCGGCUUACUGGACUGUAACUGACGUUGAGGCUCGAAAGCGUGGGGAGCAAACAGGAUUAGAUACCCGUGUAGUC
rnacentral:rRNA from 1 species